AGUGAACGCUGGCGGCGUGCUUAACACAUGCAAGUCGAACGAGAACGGAUUAUAGCUUGCUAUAAUUGUCAGCUAAGUGGCGCACGGGUGAGUAAUGUAUAGGUAAUAUGCCUCUUACUAAGGGAUAACAAAUGGAAAAGUUUGCUAAUACCUUGUACUCCUUAUUAACCUAAGUUAAUCAGGGAAAGAUUUAUUGGUAAGAGAUUAGCCUGUAUUGUAUCAGUUAGUUGGUGGGGUAAUGGCUUACCAAGACUAUGACACAUAACUGGUUUGAGAGGAUGAUCAGUCACACUGGAACUGAGACACGGUCCAGACUCCUACGGGAGGCAGCAGUGGGGGAUAUUGCACAAUGGACGAAAGUCUGAUGCAGCAACGCCGCGUGGAGGAUGACACAUUUCGGUGCGUAAACUCCUUUUAUAUGAGAAGAUAAUGACGGUAUUAUAUGAAUAAGCACCGGCUAACUCCGUGCCAGCCGCCGCGGUAA
rnacentral:rRNA from 1 species